CGUAUCCUAAAGGUAACGGUGGUGGCCAUUACGGCCACCGUUACAGUUACGGAACACCCUAAUUAUAAAAUUGCCCGAGUUGGACUUUGCUUUCAUUAUGGGUUUGAGGUGUGGACUUGUAAGAUCAAAGGUGUCUGAAGUGAGUGAAAGAAUAGAGGGAAAGAAAAGUAAGGGAAUUAGGGAGACUUAUUUGAAAGAAGGAAUUAUAACGAAAGAUGAUUUGAAAGAAUAUCAUCUCUUGCUCUGCGGGAAAAAAAUACGAGGAUGCGGUGAAGUUGGGACACUUUUGAUUUGCGUCGAGAAUCUAAUAGUUGCAUCUCCUCAGAAGAAUGGUUGUGGAGAUAAGUAUAUAGAGAUGGUCAAUAACUUAGGGUAGUGUGGGUUACCAAUAUUUGAAAGACAGGCUGAUCAUGCAAUAAAGGUUGGCGAGAAUGGUGAAUAUGCACCUUCAUACAACAUACGCGGAUGCAAUACAGCUAACUAUUGUCCCCAUUCAGUAAGUGUGUCAUGUUGGUUGUAUCUUGUUUUUUAAAUAUUCAAUACAUGUCCUAACUAAUGUGUAGUGCAUUAUUUUGUUUGUUAAACAAAUAUGGGCUUACGAGCGAUUCCCUUAAUUAUCGGGUGAUAAGGGAUGGAUUGUUAGAAGACCUCAAGUCUGAAUUCCUCGAAUCCUCAACUGUAGGCCGUACAAAGUAGGCUGGUAUAUAGCUGUCUCAAAAGUCUUCAAGACCGUGUCGAUAGAGAUCGAUGUGGAGCUUAUACUGACCAAGGAGGAAGAAGAGACAGAUGUGAUUAAAUCUCUCAAAGUUGAUGCCUAUACGAAGGAUAAGACUUUGAGGUUGGAAGUUAGAACAAAGGUUUUGGUGUAAGAGGUUGUGUAGAAACAUGUGGCUAAGAAGAAAUUGGAGAGGAAAGAAGUGAGAGAGGAGUUGAUGAAGAAGGGAAUAAAAAGUUGGAAAAGACAGAGGUUACAGAUGAAGUGAGAGAGGAAGUGGGAGGGGAAGUGGAGGUGUGAGAGGAAGUGAGGGGGGAAGUAAGAAGGAAAUGAAGUGAAACAACUAAACUAAAGGCUGAUUUUGUGCCUCACUUGAGGAAUUGGCAACGAAAGUCAAAACAAGAAGACUAGAUUCGCUUUGAAGAGUUUUGACCAUAGAAUUGAGACCAUCACACUAGAUGUGGAAGAAUUAAGAGAGGAAAUGAAACAUUACAGGGAAAUGAGAGAAAGGAAGCAUGCAAAGGAAGGGAAUGUGUCAUUAUGUGACGAGUGAAGUUCCUAAGGGAGGAGUUUGAUGCUAGUAAGGUAUAUGAAAUUGUAUUUUGUUUGAUGUUUAACAACACAUUGUGAAAUUGCAUAUCUAAAACGUGAAUCUAAUGGAGACAAUUAACACAUCAACUCGAUCCGUGGAGGAGGAUGUGGACGAGGCUAUUAGCCAGCUUGUAGUUAUAGACGAGGCGGGUUGGUAGCCUGCCCGCGACUGUGGAUGAGGCUAUUGUUCAACCUACAAUUAUGGAUGAGACUGUUGGCCAGUUUGUACAUUUGGAUGAGGCGAGUUGGCAGACCGUGGAUAUGGAUGAGGCAGGUCGGCAACCUGAGAUUGUGGAUGAGGCUAUUCUUCAGCCUACAAUUAUGGAUGAGGCUACUGGCUAGCCUAUACAUAUAGACGAGGCGGGUCGGUAACCUCUGGAUAUGGAUGAGGAGGGUCGGCAACCUGCGACUGUGGAUGGUGCUGUUCUUCAACUUGCAGUUAUGGAUGAGGCUGCCGGCUAGCCUAUAGAUAUGGAUGAGGCAGGUGGGUAGCUCGCGAUUGUGGAUGAGGUUGGUCAACAGCCUGCGACUAAGUUAUGUAGGACUCUAGUCGUGGCUGUUGGGAGGCCCCAACACAAUUCAUUGCCAUCAAAAUGGAUAACAUCCACUGCUCCACGUUCUUCUCUUGUUGAUGUCAUCAAUUCUCUUGAGGGAUAUGUGGAUCCGCAUAGAUCCUUGACAACCGAAGAAUAUAAUGAUUCGACGCUUGCACGCAAAAUGGAGUGGCAUCCGUGUUUGAGUUUCCCAUAUGACCUAAAUGCAUAAGUUGAUUUUAAAGUAAGUGAGACUACCCAUCUUUCAUUUAAUUGAUCCUCGUCCUAUACAUAUUUACUGUCACUUUUUCCUCAAUACAUAAGGGGUGGAUAUCUACUUGGACUACUUGACAGAGCAACUUCCUCAUGCUUAUCCCCAGGAUUGCGCAUUUGUGUCAACUUAUUUUACGUCAAUCAUGGAGAGUGAGGUGGAUAUGAUUUGUAAAUGUGGCACUAGGGAUCACAACGAUAGACAAAAUAUCAAGCUCGAGAAAGUUGAUAAUAACCUUGUGUCUAUGGUUCAAACAUUCAGUCUACGUAAUCCCAUAUGGAGACAUGAUUGCAUAAGCCCUUAUUCGCAUGUAUACUUAUAAUAAAAGAUAUUAAUCUUUUGGGGAAUGUAUGUGUUAAUUGUUGUUUUUAUUGGAUGUUUUUUUGUAGCUUUACGUCCCUCCCAAUGCAAGGAACAAAAAAAAAAAAAAAAGACUUAGAUGUAUCGCAGUUUUAAAUACUUAUCUGAUUCUUUCUCUAUGGUCUUUUGUAUGAUGUGUAUGGAUGAUGUUCAUGGAUGAUUGUGUAUAAAUGUAGGAUGGAUAAUGUACACAGGUUGGUUUCUUACAGGUUAAGGGAGGAGGGUUUGAAUCGAUUCUUGAUAAGGGUUGAGUUUAUCAUCCAUUAAAGGUCGAGGAUGAUUUCACAUCUAGUAAAGGUCGGGAUUGUCAUCAACAAUGUUUAAAUUAUCGGUGACAAUAUCGAAUUGAUGCCAAUAAUAUCGGUAUCGCUGACUCAAUGAUCCCGAAAACCCAUUUAUUCGAAUCGCUGCCAGAUAUUGCCGAUAAUGUCGCCGAAAAUAUCGGUUUGUCGAUAUUUUUGAACUAUCGCCGAUAUUUCACUGUUCCCACCAACCACGGGUGGGAACUGUAGCCAACAACCCACCUUUGUCGAUAAAAGGGAGAUGUUUUCGGCGAUAAAAUCGUCGAAAUUAAAAACAAAAAACAUAAGAAAUACCCAUUUUUCGCCCGGAUAUGGUUGAAGACACGAAUUUCAAGAGCUUCACGGCUGUUGAAUGCAGAUCGGCAACUUUUCGGUAAGAUUCAACCCCAAAAAAAAUCGGUUUUUCUGUCGAAAAAUCGUCUGGCAGCUUCUCCAGAAAAGAAUCGGCUUGCGGGCUAUGAAAAUCUCGAGAUCUUGUUGGAAAAUAGAUGUUUUUUUUAAAAAAAAAUAAAAAUAAAAAUGGGAUGAGGGAGAGGGAUUUUCGGGUUGAAAAUCCAGAGAUUUUGGUGGGAAGGAGAGGUUUUCGGGGUUUAUACAGAAAUUGGGGAUCGAAUUUCAUUUUAAACGGGGGUUUGGCUUUGAAGGUGCAAGUCGGUGCUCCGUGGGCCCCACCAUGAUGCAUCUAUUGUAUCCAUGCUGUCCAUUCAUUUUUAAAUAUCAUUUUCGAGCUUGAUCCAAAAAAUUAGCUAGAUCUAAAACUCAGGUGGACCACACCACAAGAAAACAAUAGUCAUUAAAUGUCCACCAUUUAAAACCUCCUCGGGCCCACUGUAAUGUUUAUUUGAUA